GAUGAACGCUGGCGGCGUGCCUAAUACAUGCAAGUCGAGCGAACGGACGAGAAGCUUGCUCCUCUGAUGUUAGCGGCGGACGGGUGAGUAACACGUGGAUAACCUACCUAUAAGACUGGGAUAACUUCGGGAAACCGGAGCUAAUACCGGAUGAUAUUUUGAACCGCAUGGUUCAAUAGUGAAAGACGGUUUUGCUGUCACUUAUAGAUGGAUCCGCGCUGCAUUAGCUAGUUGGUAAGGUAACGGCUUACCAAGGCAACGAUGCAUAGCCGACCUGAGAGGGUGAUCGGCCACACUGGAACUGAGACACGGUCCAGACUCCUACGGGAGGCAGCAGUAGGGAAUCUUCCGCAAUGGGCGAAAGCCUGACGGAGCAACGCCGCGUGAGUGAUGAAGGUCUUCGGAUCGUAAAACUCUGUUAUUAGGGAAGAACAUAUGUGUAAGUAACUGUGCACAUCUUGACGGUACCUAAUCAGAAAGCCACGGCUAACUACGUG
rnacentral:rRNA from 1 species